ensembl:snRNA U6 U6 spliceosomal RNA
GUGCUCACUUCAACAGUACUUGUACUAAAACUAUAACAAUGCAGAGAAGAUUAGCAUGACUCCUGAGCAAGAAUGACCCGCAAAUUCAUAAAGCAUUCCAUAUUUUU